rnacentral:rRNA from 1 species
GUUUCGAAUCAUUCACAAUGGGCGAAAGCCUGAUGGUGCGACGCCGCGUGAGGGAUGAAGGCCUUCGGGUUGUAAACCUCUGUCACCGGGGAAGAAACGCUUCAAGUUAAUAGCUUGAAGCCUGACUUAACCCGGAGAGGAAGCAGUGGCUAACUCUGUGCCAGCAGCCGCGGUAAUACAGAGACUGCAAGCGUUAUUCGGAUUCACUGGGCGUAAAGGGUGCGCAGGCGGCCAAGUGUGUGAGGUGUGAAAGCCCGGGGCUUAACCCCGGAAUUGCACCUCAAACUACAUGGCUAGAGCAUUGGAGAGGGUAGCAGAAUUCACGGUGUAGCAGUGAAAUGCGUAGAUAUCGUGAGGAAUACCAGAGGCGAAGGCGGCUACCUGGACAAUUGCUGACGCUCAGGCACGAAAGCGUGGGGAGCAAAAGGGAUUAGAAACCCCAGUAGUCC